GUCUUUAAUAAUAACAACAUAAUUAACCCUUAAUCGAAUAUCUACCUCUACCUCAAGUAACUCUUUUACAGCAUUUCAUUUCAAAAUCUACAGAAUAACAGAACUAUAUCAUACCAAACUUGCAAUUAAUAAUCCCCAAAAUAAGCAGGAACCAGAACAUAUCAAGAACAAUAUCAAAACAGACUUCACAAUUUCCAGUUUCAUCUUCUACUCACUAACAACAACUAAACAAUUUCUAAAUUGAAAAAACAGCACUAACAACAUUUUCCAUUGUAAACUCUUUCAAACAACAGCAGUGUAUCACAAAAAUGCCUGAAUUUAAAUGGCAAUUCACAAGUCUGGAUCAGUCAUUAAGCUAACUUAGAAAAUAAUGCUGUAAUUGCUCACUGCCUCAAGUCUGCAGUUAAGCUUAUUAACUUUGAUUGCAACCAAAAUGAACCUAAUGGUUCUGUACUACUACCUAUGAACUAAUAAACAUAGCUUAAACAACUUCAUAUAACAUACUUGCAUGCCUUAAAAGUCUUUGGAUUACAUAACAAAGGAAAAGAAACAACAAUCUUCCAUGUAUCAGAUGUAAGAUAUCUAUCAAACCCAACACCAUUCCACCUAAGCUAAGCAAACUGGAACCAAAUCUAGCCAAAAGAGCAGAGCAUUACUAACAACAAAAUAUAAACAGACCAAACAGACCAAGACACAACAACAACUAAAAUUAUGCAAAUAAUAUUUGUUUGGAAUUUGAGCAGAUUAAAUAUGCCAAACAACAACUAAACAAUCAUAAAGCUCAUUAGCAUGCCAAAGAACAAAAACAAAAGAUCGAAAGCAGUUAAGUAGGAAUAGCAAGGGAGAGCAGAUUUGUCCCCUCAAGUUUCUCUUCACAAAUCGCAGAUGAGUUUUACUUGGGGAGGAAAACUAACCUGUGUAACCAGGGAAAUCGGGGAAGAGUUCGAUGAACAACAACCUGUAAUGAGAAAAGGGAAAUCGAUUAACUCAAACAAAUAAUGCAAUACAGGCAAGAACCGAAACAAACUAUUUAGCCCUAAAAUUAUGUCUUUCAAUCGAACAUGCAAAACAAACUUUGGAAAAACCUCUGGAAAAUUAACUGAGUGAAUGCAAAAUCGGGGAAGAGUGAGAUGAAGAAGGUGUCUGAAAUAAGAAAAGGGAAAUCGAUUUGGGUUAGUGAACAAUUAAAAUACAACAGCAAAUCGGUUCCUCCUUCUUGAUAAAAUGAAGAAAAUCAAAGAAACCCUAAACUCAAAUCAAUGACGGACUGAGUGGAAGGGAAAAGAAAUUACCUGUGCAAGGAGGCGUCGGAGAAUCAGAAGGUUGAGGACGAUGGCAAAAAAUGGAAUAGCAGAAAAGGGGAAAACACGGAUUAGGCAAUCAGGGAUGAGGGAGCGUAAUAGUUAUUACGCGCAAUAACUACAUAGGGGGUAACCGAUUACACGCGGAAUGGGGUUAUAGUGAACUAAACGGCAGUUUAGCAGUGGGCCCGCUGCAUAGGGGGGAAUACGCAUGCAUUCCCCCAACCAAACGCGUUGUAAUAAUAUUAAAAGGUAUGUCAAAAUUUUU
rnacentral:lncRNA from 1 species